rnacentral:rRNA from 1 species
UACGUAGGGGGCAAGCGUUGUCCGGAAUCAUUGGGCGUAAAGCGCGUGUAGGCGGUCCGGUAAGUCGGCUGUGAAAGUCCAGGGCUCAACCCCUGGGAUGCCGGUCGAUACUGCCGGACUAGAGUUCGGAAGAGGCGAGUGGAAUUCCCGGGUGUAGCGGUGAAAUGCGCAGAUAUCGGGAGGAACACCAAUGGCGAAGGCAGCUCGCUGGGACGUUACUGACGCUGAGA